AUAUAGAAAUGAAAAACAGAUAUGGGGAGUCAAAACCCUAGAGGAGGUGGACCCUGUUGACAAUCUUACCACUUAAAACAAGAGCCACCAAGACCGAACCUCACUGUUAAUAACACACAACGCAGACAGUAAAGCAAAAAACCCAGAAAUAAUUUUCUGACAUGGCUGAAAUCUCGGCGACUUCGUUUCCUUCUUCUUCGUCAGCCUCUCUCGCGCUUCGAAGCUCCCUAAAUGGUAGCUUAAGAUGUCAAAAUGUAGCUUGUCUAAGAACCACUUCUCUGUUUCAAGAGUUAUCUGUGAAACGAAGCCAGCUCUCUGGCAAUGCUGUUGCUACUACCACUACUCAUGUUCCCCUAACCCGCGGCAGCAAGAGUCAAGCAAUUCGAGCUGUUCUCUCCGGUGAUGGACAAACUGUCGUGUCUGCUGAUUCAAAGGAAGCCGGGCUCCGUGGCAAGCUGAAAAAAGUCGUUCUUGCUUACAGUGGAGGCUUAGACACCUCCGUCAUCGUGCCAUGGCUCAAGGAGAACUAUGGCUGUGAAGUUGUGUGUUUCACCGCAGAUGUUGGUCAGGGUAUAAAAGAGUUGGAGGGUUUGGAACAAAAGGCUAAAGCUAGUGGCGCUUCUCAGCUGGUAGUUAAGGAUCUCACGGAGGAGUUUGUGAAAGAUUACAUAUUCCCUUGUCUAAGAGCUGGUGCCAUCUAUGAACGAAAAUACUUGCUCGGUACCUCCAUGGCUCGUCCUGUCAUUGCUAAGGCCAUGGUAGAUGUAGCAGCAGAGGUUGGAGCUGAUGCCGUUGCACAUGGGUGUACUGGCAAAGGAAAUGACCAGGUUCGGUUUGAGCUCACCUUCUUUUCGCUGAACCCUGAACUUAAAGUUGUGGCACCUUGGAGAGAAUGGGAAAUCCAAGGCAGAGAAGACGCUAUUGAGUACGCGAAGAAGCAUAACGUUCCUGUCCCCGUGACAAAGAAAUCUAUUUACAGCCGAGACAGGAACCUCUGGCACCUUAGUCAUGAGGGUGAUAUAUUGGAAGAUCCAGCAAACGAGCCCAAGAAAGAUAUGUACAUGAUGAGUGUAGAUCCCGAAGAUGCCCCUGAUCAGCCUGAAUACAUUGAGAUCGGGAUAGAAUCUGGACUUCCAGUGGCACUCAACGGGAAGGCUCUCUCUCCAGCCACCCUUCUCUCCGAGCUCAACACAAUAGGAGGGAAACACGGCAUUGGCCGGAUCGACAUGGUGGAGAAUCGUCUCGUCGGGAUGAAGUCACGAGGUGUCUAUGAAACACCAGGAGGCACCAUCCUGUUCGCAGCUGUGCAGGAACUAGAGUCCCUCACGUUAGACAGAGAGAGCAUUCAGGUGAAAGACUCGUUAGCUCUGAAGUACGCUGAGAUGGUCUAUGCGGGGAGAUGGUUUGAUCCGCUUAAGGAGUCCAUGGACGCUUUCAUGGAGAAGUUAACUGAGAAAACCACGGGAUCUGUAACACUGAAGCUGUACAAAGGAUCUGUGUCGGUGACAGGGCGUAAGAGUCCGAACAGUCUGUACAGACAGGACAUAUCUUCGUUUGAAGGGAGUGAGAUUUACAACCAAGCUGAUGCAGCUGGGUUCAUUCGUCUUUACGGGUUGCCUAUGAGAGUUAGAGCAAUGCUUGAGAAAGGCAUUUAGAAAAAGGUUUCAUCGUGAGUUUAUUUGAAUGACAUUAGAAGAUCACUUUCCUUGUGUUCAAGAUUUGAUGCGUUUUAGCUUCAGCUUCUGUUUGGAAUAAUUCUGUGUUCUUUCUUCACUUUGUUUUCGUUUUGGAGAAACUCAAUAAAUCGAAUAAUGUGUUACUGUGAA